rnacentral:rRNA from 1 species
AUUGAACGCUGGCGGCAUGCUUUACACAUGCAAGUCGAACGGCAGCACGGGGGCAACCCUGGUGGCGAGUGGCGAACGGGUGAGUAAUGCAUCGGAACGUACCCAGUCGUGGGGGACAACGUAGCGAAAGUUACGCUAAUACCGCAUACGACCUGAGGGUGAAAGCAGGGGAUCGCAAGACCUUGCGCGAUUGGAGCGGCCGAUGUCAGAUUAGCUAGUUGGUGGGGUAAAGGCUCACCAAGGCGACGAUCUGUAGCGGGUCUGAGAGGGCGAUCAGCCACACUGGGACUGAGACACGGCCCAGACUCCUACGGGAGGCAGCAGUGGGGAAUUUUGGACAAUGGGCGCAAGCCUGAUCCAGCAAUGCCGCGUGCAGGAUGAAGGCCUUCGGGUUGUAAACUGCUUUUGUACGGAACGAAAAGCCCUGGGUUAAUACCCUGGGGUCAUGACGGUACCGUAAGAAUAAGCACCGGCUAACUACGUGCCAGCCGCCGCGGUAAUAC